GACGAACGCUGGCGGCGUGCUUAACACAUGCAAGUCGAACGGAAAGGCCCUGCUUUUGUGGGGUGCUCGAGUGGCGAACGGGUGAGUAACACGAGAGUAACCUGCCCUUGGCUUUGGUAUAACUUCAGGAAACUAGAGCUAAUACCGGAUAGGAGCUCCUGCUGCAUGGUUGGAGUUGGAAAGUUUCGUCGGUUGGGGAUGGACUCGCGGCUUAUCAGCUUGUUGGUGGGGUAGUGGCUUACCAAGGCUUUGACGGGUAGCCGGCCUGAGAGGGUGACCGGCCACAUUGGGACUGAGAUAAGGCCCAGACUCAUAUGGGAGGCAGCAGUGGCGAAUAUUGAACAAUGGGCGGAAGCCAGAUGCAGAAACGCCGCGUGCGGGAUGAGCGCUUUUGGGUUGUAAACCGCUUUCGCCUGUGACGAAGCGUGAGUGACGGUAACGGGUAAAGAAGCACCGGCUAACUACGUG
rnacentral:rRNA from 1 species